ACGGACUCGCCAUUGGAGAUCGCGAUCGGAAGGUGGCGCCACGCGGCCCCUACAGGCCUGGGACUCCCACCCGAGCUCGCAAAGUCAUAUCUGGUCUGGGGGUAAAUAAAUACUUCUGACCUCA